GUAGGUGGCAAGCGUUGUCCGGAAUUAUUGGGCGUAAAGCGCGCGCAGGCGGUUCUUUAAGUCUGAUGUGAAAGCCCACGGCUCAACCGUGGAGGGUCAUUGGAAACUGGAGAACUUGAGUACAGAAGAGGAAAGCGGAAUUCCACGUGUAGCGGUGAAAUGCGUAGAGAUGUGGAGGAACACCAGUGGCGAAGGCGGCUUUCUGGUCUGUAACUGACGCUGAGGCGCGAAAGCGUGGGGAGCAAACGAGGGAUUAGAUACCCUGGUAGUCCACGCCGUAAACGAUGAGUGCUAAGUGUUAGGGGGUUUCCGCCCCCUUAGUGCUGCAGCUAACGCAUUAAGCACUCCGCCUGGGGAGUACGGCCGCAAGGCUG
rnacentral:rRNA from 1 species